rnacentral:rRNA from 1 species
CCUACGGGAGGCUGCAGUGAGGAAUAUUGGUCAAUGGCCGGAAGGCUGAACCAGCCAUGCCGCGUGAAGGUCAGUGCCCUAUGGGCGUUAAACUUCUUUUUUUCGGGAGCAAUAAUGGUCACGUGUGGCCAGACGAGAGUUCCGUACGACUAAGCAUCGGGUUACUUCGUGCCAGCAGCCGCGGUAAUACGGGGGGUGCAGGCGUUAUCCGGGUUUUUUGGGUUUAAAGGGUGGGUCGGGGGUGCGGUAAGUCAGCGGUGCAAUGCCCCCGAUCAACGGGGUGAAGUGCCAUUGAUACUGGCUGGCUGGAGUGCGGAAGCCGUGGGAGGAAUGCGUGGUGUAGCGGUGAAAUGCGUAGAUAU